AUUGAACGCUGGCGGCAUGCCUUACACAUGCAAGUCGAACGGCAGCGCGGGAGCAAUCCUGGCGGCGAGUGGCGAACGGGUGAGUAAUAUAUCGGAACGUGCCCUAGAGUGGGGGAUAACUAGUCGAAAGAUUAGCUAAUACCGCAUACGAUCUACGGAUGAAAGUGGGGGAUCGCAAGACCUCAUGCUCGUGGAGCGGCCGAUAUCUGAUUAGCUAGUUGGUAGGGUAAAAGCCUACCAAGGCCACGAUCAGUAGCUGGUCUGAGAGGACGACGAGCGACACGAGGACUGAGACACGGCCCAGACGCCGACGGGAGGCAGCAGUGGGGAAUGUUGGACAAUGGGGGAAACCCUGAUUCAGCAAUGCCGCGUGUGUGAAGAAGGCCUUCGGGUUGUAAAGCACUUUUGUCCGGAACGAAACGGGCCGAGCUAAUAUCUUGGCCUAAUGACGGUACCGGAAGAAUAAGCACCGGCUAACUACGUGCCAGCCGCCGCAGUAA
rnacentral:rRNA from 1 species